rnacentral:sRNA from 2 species
AAAAUACCAUGGAUGAGCAUGUCACUGUUCAACGCCAUGUUUCUACUGUAGCCGAUGUGACCAUCAAACUUCUCCCAUACGGUUUUCUUGUUUAACCGGUUUUGUUACCUUUCUGUGCCUAAUGGCACAUGAACUUUCAACCCCAACAACUGCAUCUGUUGCUGGUGGCUCAUACCCAGUAGCCCAGGCUGCACAGUUAGGAGCCAGUAGCGGUAACAGCUGGGGCGGCUCUUCGACACUGGCUAAUUCGAGCAUGGCAUCCACAUCGUCAUUAUCGCCAUCUGCGCUACAAACCAAUAACAAUUCCUAUCUUAUGCCCACUAGUCCCCCCAAAAGCCGCCGUGGGAGCAAUGAUGGCUAUCGUCCCGCAGUCAAGAGGUCGACCGGAAACCCUCCUGCAUGUCUCGUAAAUGCGUCGGUCACAUACUGUGGGAACAACCAAAUAUAUGCUUUUGGGGGAUUCGAUCAGUAUACUGAUGAAGUUUACAACCAUGUUCUCCGGUUAGAUCUUACAACUCUUAGGUGGAAUCUGGUUGAUAAUUACGGAGACAUUCCAGGUGUCAGGAUGGGACAUACCGCCUCUCUUUAUCAAGGAAAUAAGCUGAUAGUGUUUGGCGGUGAGAACGAACACCGCGAAUACCUCUCCGACGUUGUUAUACUGGAUAUUACCACUUCCACUUGGGCAUCACCUGAAAUACGUGGCCCAAUUCCUCGUGGAAGAGCGCGACACGCCUCUGUGAUUUACGAAGAUAAACUCUUUGUGAUUGGAGGAAUAACGGGGGGAAUAACCGGCGAGACUAAUGUUAUCCUGGACGAUCUUUGUUAUCUCGACUUGAAAACAUGGACUUGGUCUCGUUGGUGGAGCUUCGUGGCUCGUUUUGAUCACACUGCAUGGAUCUGGGGUGGUCGCCUGUGGGUUUUUGGGGGUCUCGGUUCAGAUAUGGAGCGUGGUACGGACCUGUGGUGGUUGGACUUGAAAGGCAGCCCGUCUCUCGGGAUAUCAUCCUCACAAGGUACCGUCGAAUCCCCAGGAACUCUUGUUAGGAUGGCUCAGAGCCCUGGAGCCCAGUAUAGUCCUCCUCCCGCCCUGCAAGGUCGCCCUGGCGGAUAUGCUGCCAACUCAGCCAGUGUGCAGGUUAGAACGUUGAGUCGUCGUAAGUUGCUCACAGCUCCUGGCGCGAUUUCUUCUCUCAAGUUUCACUCCGGUCCUCACGUACCCACCACGCUGCUUUCCGGCACGCACUUCCAUGUGUUUUCAUCUGGUGUCCUUCUCGACAUUGCCACACCUUCAGAAACAGUCCGACCCUGGGAUUGCAAUCUAGCUUCUCUGGAGCUUGACUCGUUAAAGUGGCAUCGUCUGGCAGAUGGGCCGGAAAUUUUCAAAUCCGGAUACCGAUGGCAUUAUUGUUGUCUAAAUGAGGACGGCACCAGAGCGUGGCUUCUGGGAUGUAGCCUGGAGGCUCCAAAUGCCACUGGUGCUGGCGACGAAAAUCGCCUAAACCAAGUACUCCCCAUCAAUCUCGAACGGUAUGGCCUCCUUGGAAAUCACCUUACUUUUGAAAAUUCAGAGCAAGCCAGACUACUUUCAUCAGAACGGCAAGAGGCGCCACGCUGCAGCGGGCUGGGAGCCGAUUUGGUUGCGGUAUUCGAUCAGCCUCCUGAAUCUGGGAGUGGAACGGAUUUCAUAAUCACGGCAGACCGUGACGACGAUCCACACCAUACAGAACUUGGUGAUUCGACAACAUCAGUGUCUUCUUCUCAUGUCCAAUCCACAUAUCUCCGUGACCUCGAAUCAGUAUCCCGGCCCAUCCACGUUCACAGGAUAAUUUUACAAGCUAGGUGGCCGCACUUCAAGCGUCUUUACUCUGCUCAAAUGGCAGAGUACCAUACGAAAAAGAUGCAUAUACCUGAACCGUAUUCUGUCGUUCGUGCUUUCCUUUACUAUUUAUACACGGACAGCAUCGCUGGCCAUCCGGAGUACUGUUCAGAGAUCACCGAAGUGGCAGGGAUGUUGGUAAUGGCGAAUCUCUACGACAUGCCCAAACUCCGCUUGCUCUGUGUCAAUAGACUCAGUCGGGAACUGGACGUCGACAAUGCAGCCAUCGUUUGGGAGCGUGCCGGACGGACGAAUGAAGGAUGGCUGAAGCGCCGCGCUGCAUCAUUUUGUCUCGCAAACUGGGGCCGUGUUGUUAGAACGGAGGGGUUCCGUACCUUAAGCAGGCAGAGUCUAAUGGAGCUGUGCGAAGUGGUGGAUAUGGAGGGGCGCGUGGUACCGGGCCAUGAACUUGAGCUUGUUGGUGAGUUGGAUGGGUUUGGGUCAGGUGCAGAUAGUAAGCAAAUUCGUACUUCCACUGGUGGUGCAUCUGGGCCGGGCAUGGAGGACCUUGAUGAGGGUGACGGAGAUGAGGAUGAUGGCAUGGAGUUGUCAUGAGUUAAUAAGAAAAUACUUACGAAAAGUUUCACAUAUGGGAUGCUCUUCUGGUGGUUAUGAUAUAAGGGGGAUUAUCUUUUCGAAUGUUUAUGACUGCAUGAAUUGAUGCGGCGUCUAAUGGGUAACGAGCAUGGUUUAAUUGUUUCCACUUCGGCGAUUUGUCAUUUUUCAUUUUCUUGUUCUUUAUAUUUUCCAAGGCACUACAGGUUGUGCUAGCAUAGAUUACAAGAGGAUUAUAGUUAGAUAUCGUAUGUGGAUUUAAAAAGGACC